GUAUUGCUGAAGAGUCCCAAACUAGGGCGAAACAGCUGUCUAGUGC
rnacentral:hammerhead_ribozyme from 1 species